GGCGGACGGGUGAGUAAUGUCUGGGGAUCUGCCUGAUGGAGGGGGAUAACUACUGGAAACGGUAGCUAAUACCGCAUAACGUCGCAAGACCAAAGUGGGGGACCUUCGGGCCUCAUGCCAUCAGAUGAACCCAGAUGGGAUUAGCUAGUAGGUGAGGUAAUGGCUCACCUAGGCGACGAUCCCUAGCUGGUCUGAGAGGAUGACCAGCCACACUGGAACUGAGACACGGUCCAGACUCCUACGGGAGGCAGCAGUGGGGAAUAUUGCACAAUGGGCGCAAGCCUGAUGCAGCCAUGCCGCGUGUAUGAAGAAGGCCUUCGGGUUGUAAAGUACUUUCAGUAGGGAGGAAGGUGUGCGUGUUAAUAGCACGUGCAAUUGACGUUACCUACAGAAGAAGCACCGGCUAACUCCGUGCCAGCAGCCGCGGUAAUACGGAGGGUGCAAGCGUUAAUCGGAAUUACUGGGCGUAAAGCGCACGCAGGCGGUUUGUUAAGUUGGAUGUGAAAUCCCCGGGCUUAACCUGGGAACUGCAUCCAAGACUGGCAAGCUAGAGUCUCGUAGAGGGAGGUAGAAUUCCAGGUGUAGCGGUGAAAUGCGUAGAGAUCUGGAGGAAUACCGGUGGCGAAGGCGGCCUCCUGGACGAAGACUGACGCUCAGGUGCGAAAGCGUGGGGAGCAAACAGGAUUAGAUACCCUGGUAGUCCACGCUGUAAACGAUGUCGAUUUGGAGGUUGUGCCCUUGAGGCGUGGCUUCCGAAGCUAACGCGUUAAAUCGACCGCCUGGGGAGUACGGCCGCAAGGUUAAAACUCAAAUGAAUUGACGGGGGCCCGCACAAGCGGUGGAGCAUGUGGUUUAAUUCGAUGCAACGCGAAGAACCUUACCUACUCUUGACAUCCAGCGAAUCCUGUAGAGAUACGGGAGUGCCUUCGGGAACGCUGAGACAGGUGCUGCAUGGCUGUCGUCAGCUCGUGUUGUGAAAUGUUGGGUUAAGUCCCGCAACGAGCGCAACCCUUAUCCUUUGUUGCCAGCGGUUCGGCCGGGAACUCAAAG
rnacentral:rRNA from 1 species